rnacentral:rRNA from 1 species
UAGGGAAUCUUCGGCAAUGGACGAAAGUCUGACCGAGCAACGCCGCGUGAGUGAAGAAGGUUUUCGGAUCGUAAAACUCUGUUGUUAGAGAAGAACAAGGACGUUAGUAACUGAACGUCCCCUGACGGUAUCUAACCAGAAAGCCACGGCUAACUACGUGCCAGCAGCCGCGGUAAUACGUAGGUGGCAAGCGUUGCCCGGAUUUAUUGGGCGUAAAGCGAGCGCAGGCGGUUUCUUAAGUCUGAUGUGAAAGCCCCCGGCUCAACCGGGGAGGGUCAUUGGAAACUGGGAGACUUGAGUGCAGAAGAGGAGAGUGGAAUUCCAUGUGUAGCGGUGAAAUGCGUAGAUAUAUGGAGGAACACCAGUGGCGAAGGCGGCUCUCUGGUCUGUAACUGACGCUGAGGCUCGAAAGCGUGGGGAGCAAACAGG